rnacentral:rRNA from 1 species
UACGUAGGGCGCAAGCGUUGUCCGGAAUUAUUGGGCGUAAAGAGCUCGUAGGCGGUUUGUCGCGCCUGCUGUGAAAACCUAAGGCUCAACCUUGGGCUUGCAGUGGGUACGGGCAGACUAGAGUGCGGUAGGGGUGACUGGAAUUCCUGGUGUAGCGGUGGAAUGCGCAGAUAUCAGGAGGAACACCAAUAGCGAAGGCAGCUCGCUGGGACGGUACUGACGCUAAGGCGCGAAAGCGUGGGGAGCAAACAGG